CAAACGCAGCCUUAGUCCCUCCAACCACUAGCCUGCCUCCCGCUUUCAGUCUUGCCCGCUGCCUGCCAGACUGCCUCUCAUCCCCUUUGCCGUCUCCUCACUACCUCCGGGGGCUUCGCCAGUCACGAUUCGCCGGCUUCACCACCUCCUCUAUCUGCGACUCCUCACUCAGCCUCGCCUCCUUCGUGGCUCGAACUUUAGCCUCCACGACGUCGUUCAGACUCCAGGUCCCCAGCCUCCAUCGGUGCCGUCUCCGUCGAAGUCGCAUCUGCCAGUCUCCGCCGUCUCCUCUGUCUCGUUAUGGCAACUGCAACAUACCCGCCGCCCCCACCAUAUUAUAGGCUCUACAAAGAUUACUUGGAGGACCCUAAGUCUGCUCCAGAGCCUCCUCCUCCCAUAGAAGGGACCUACAUUUGUUUUGGGGGCCCCUACACUACUAGUGAUGUUUUGCCAAGCUUGGAAGAACAAGGCGUGCGCCAACUCUAUCCAAAGGGGGCUAAUGUUGAUUUCAAGAAGGAGCUGAGAUCACUGAAUGGAGAAUUGCAGCUACACAUUUUGGAGCUUGCAGAUAUUCUUAUUGAGAGACCAUCACAGUAUGCAAGGAGAGUUGAAGAGAUUUCAACUGUAUUCAAAAACUUACAUCACCUUUUAAAUUCCUUGCGACCUCAUCAGGCAAGAGCAACAUUAAUUCAUAUUUUGGAACUUCAGAUUGAGCGUCGUAAAGAAGCAGUGGAGGACAUAAAGAAGAGAAGAGAAGAGGCACGAAGAUUACUUAACGAGUCCCUAGCAACACUUGAUGAACAAUAGGACAUUUUUCUGCACUGAACCAAGCUUGUUACCGAUAUAGAACCUGUUGUGGUUUGUUUGGGGAUCUGAGACGUCAUUGAAGAAAAAACCGGACGAGGAUACUCUAAUGGUAUUGUCUCUGUUAAGGUAUGCUUUCUUUACCUAUCCUUGAAUAGCAUUACUAGUUCUAUCAGUAUCAUCCAUCCUCAUGUUGAAUGGUUGGUUUGUCAUUUGUUCUAAGGGCAUACAACUAGGUAUUUCUGACUUCUGCUAGUAACAAUUUUCAUUGAAUCUUGAAAAGGAAAAAUCAACAAAAAUGCUUUGCUUUCAUUGGUUUAGAUGGUCUCUGAUUUUUCCCCAUUGAGUAUAAGAACUCAGCUGACCCCGCCUAGUGGGAUAAGGCUUUGUUGUUGUUGUUGUCGAGUAUAAGAACUCACUUUAAGAUAAAAAUAAAAAAAUAAAAAAUCCCUAGUAUCAUAUCAGAGUGGCCACUUUCUAGGGUAUCCCCUUUACCUUUUCUUUGUUGUCCAUUAAUUACAUUCAUCCAAUUGAAUCUAGAAAUAACCAUUAAACAUAUGCAUUCUGAAAUAUAGAGCUUAUUUUCCAUUUCGAUCUGCACUUAGGAAAUGGUGUUGAGGAGUAAUUCUUAAAAGUGAGCAAGGUAUGAACCAGAAACUUUUGCCUGGAUACUUUGUAUGCUAAUAUUUAAGUAGCAAAUCCCUUCCUUUAGUUUCGUACCUUGUUCAAUAAUUUUACAUGUGCUUUUCAUGAUUUUCUCUAUUUGGAGUCUAGUGAGAAGAAAAUUUAUUAUUUUGAUAAGGAUAGUCCUGGACUCCUGAUCACUCUCUAGGUGAAUUCCCUGUUCACGCUAAUUUUUCUCAUCAGAAAUUCACAAAGCACAUACUGGUUUUGGUGCCUGGUCCAAUAAGGAAGCAGAUUUUUUAGCAAUGUUGUCACUAGCAGACCAUAUCAAUCCUAUUUUAGUACUUCUUUUAUUAUAAUUACAUUUAAUUAAUAGUACAUGAAUUGAUUUGGAAUGACCAAAAUACUAAAGAUUUGAUUUUCUUGUUUUGUAUUUUUGCAUCAAUUUUUGAUCAGAAAAACAAAAAAGGGCAUUUGCAAAUUAAUGUUGUUAAUAUGAACAUUUAUGUUGAAUGCCUGCGUCUUGGAGGGGGGGAAAAAGUGAAAAGUAGUUGAGAGACUGAAGCAUAAGCUAUGCUGAAAUGAACAUUGAUUAGGAAGUUGGUUGUGAAGUUGGACAUCGUUAUCUCCUUUGUAAGUCUUGAUUGCCAAUGUUUGAAUGCAAUAAGAAACUAUGUUUUCAUUUGUAUUUAUUUCCUGUAUGUGUAUAUUAAUUUCAUCCUAUCAAUAUAAACUAUUCUCUGUUGAUACAGCUUUUACACAUGGAAUUCAUGCAUUCUUUAUCUACUUUCUUUCCACUCAACAGGCAUUUGACUCUGAAAUAUUAUUGGUGCUUAGUAAAAUAUUUCUUUAUCUACUUUCAUUCCACUCAACAUGGCAUUUGGCCCUGAAAUAUUUUUAGUGCUUAAUAAAAUAUCGCAUUCUGGAAUUUGACCUUGAAAAUAACUAAGAUCAAGGAUUAUAAAUUAUAAACAAACAACAACAAAGCUUUGUCCCAUUAGGAAGGCUCGGCAGUAGUGGCUGGAAAUUGUAGCGUAUAUUUCGGAACUUUACUGAAUAAUUCCUAAUCGUGGCGCUAAUGAUAUGUUGAAACUUCUGGGCUUAUAUUCUCCGGUACUGAUUAUUCAUCAUUUCUUUGCUUCAUCCAAUAUUUCCGGUAUUAUGGACAUAUCUUUGUUAAAUGUGCUCUCCAAUGGCAUAUCCUCAUUUUUGCAUCCAUCAUUUUCUGGAAACAUGAACUCAAAACCUGUAUCAAUGUAUUGCCAAAGUGCAGAGCAGACACUUAAGUUGUUGAAGCCAAUUAUUGACACAACUGUUCAUUCUGAUAUAUCUGCUGAUGAAGAGCUUAGAAAGUUAUUUGAGGAACUUGGUCAGUCUGUUGAUGAGUUGAGGGAGCUUUUCGAGAAUUGGCAUCCACUAUCCAGUAAAUUUUACUUUGUGAUGCAAGCUGAACCGUUGAUUAUCAAUAUUUUGCAGAAGCUGAAGGCUUCACAGCAAUGUCUACCUGAUGAUAUGACAUCAAUCAUUAAGGAAGCUAUAAAUGAACAACUGGAAGGCGAAGAUUCCUUUAGUGGCGUGGAUAAUGCACAGCAUGUGGAUCCUGUAAGAAUAUCAGACGAAGAAAGUGUGGAUUUAGUUUCCCAAUCAUCAACUUCACCAUCUAGAAGGGAAGCUUCAAAUGCCUUGAGAUCAGAGCAAUCUCAAAACCAUGUAAGAACUGAUUCUGAUUCCAGUGAACACUCUAGUGAAAAUUUUCAUCAAGGCAUACAGGGUGAUAGCAACAAUCCAAGAAAACUCUGUUACAGCACUUCUUAACUUAUCAAUCAAUGACAACAACAGAGACAGGUGGUUGAGGAUAACAAGAUCAGGAUAGGGAGGGCCGGGGCCAUUAAACCUCUGGUUGAGUUAUUAAGUAAUGAAAGAUGCUUCCACUGCUUUAUUUCACGAAAACAAGGAUUGAAUUGAUGGACCCUGCAGCCGGAAUGGUCGAUAAGGCUGUGGCUGUUCUAGCAAAUCUGGGCAGCAAGGUGGCAUUCCUCUUCUGGUUGAGGUUGUUGGGUUGGGUUCUACUAGAGGAAAGGAGAAUGCAGCAGCAGCUCUUCUACAUUUAAACAUGGUACUCCAAGAAGGAGCUGUUCCACCAUUAGUAGCUUUAUCACCAUCAGGCACCGCAAGGGCUAAAGAGAAGUUUUCUCUUUAUCUUCUUUGUUUUGUUACAAAAUGUGGUGACUGAGAUUUGGUUCUGUUUAGGCCCUGUCUCUUCUGAAUCAUUUUAGAGAUCCAAGGCAUGGUGGUGCUGUGAGGGGCUGAUUCUUUGUUACCAACUUCUUCUACCAUCCAAAAGGUUUUGAAUUGACUCUUAAAGAAUGUUGCUAAUUUAUAUAUUUUCAAUUUCUUGUAAAGAGAAUAAACAUGGAUUAUAUGUAUCCUCUUGUAAACAAACCUUACAAAUGAUACAUGUAAAUCUUCCUUGUUACAAAAACAUCAUGUCUAGCUUUUGUUGCUGACUUGUACAAGUUGUUCAAUGACAUUCAGUUAUGUAUUAACUUCAAAUUCAGUUAGAUAGGGAUCUGAUCUAUCCGGACCUUCUCGUCAUCCUUCGAUUUCAAAGGGGCAAGGAAGCGAUCUUGAAGUUCUGAAAAAAUUGUUGCCUUGACAUCAGCAAUAGAAACUAGAAAGCACUUUAUACUUAGAAAUAAUUGAAAGUACUGGCAGGGAGCCAAUACAUGUUGUAUUAAAUAUUUCUUGAUUCCCUAUUUGUAUUCAUUUUUCAAUAUUUGUAUCAGUAUAGGUGAAGCUUCACACUAAGUAGCUAAAUAAUCGU